rnacentral:rRNA from 1 species
AUUGAACGCUGGCGGCAGGCCUAACACAUGCAAGUCGAGCGGAUGACGGGAGCUUGCUCCUUGAUUCAGCGGCGGACGGGUGAGUAAUGCCUAGGAAUCUGCCUGGUAGUGGGGGACAACGUUUCGAAAGGAACGCUAAUACCGCAUACGUCCUACGGGAGAAAGCAGGGGACCUUCGGGCCUUGCGCUAUCAGAUGAGCCUAGGUCGGAUUAGCUAGUUGGUGGGGUAAUGGCUCACCAAGGCGACGAUCCGUAACUGGUCUGAGAGGAUGAUCAGUCACACUAGAACUGAGACACGGUCCAGACUCCUACGGGAGGCAGCAGUGGGGAAUAUUGGACAAUGGGCGAAAGCCUGAUCCAGCCAUGCCGCGUGUGUGAAGAAGGUCUUCGGAUUGUAAGCACUUUAAGUUGGGAGGAAGGGCAGUAAGCUAAUACCUUGCUGUUUUGACGUUACCGACAGAAUAAGCACCGGCUAACUCUGUGCCAGCAGCCGCGGUAAAAC